UGCCCAGCAACUCCUAUCCCUACCUCCACGCGGUACCGGCCGGAAACUAUGAGCAACCUUAGGGAAGAUCGGCUAACCAACCCCGGUGGGAACUUUGGUCGUAGGCUGACAGGGAAGG
rnacentral:ribozyme from 1 species